rnacentral:misc_RNA from 1 species
CCGGACUACCAGGGUAUCUAAUCCUGUUUGCUCCCCACGCUUUCGCGCCUCAGCGUCAGUGCCGGACCAGAUGGCCGCCUUCGCCACCGGUGUUCUUCCCAAUAUCUACGAAUUUCACCUCUACACUGGGUAUUCCACCCUCCUCUUCCGGCCUCCAGCCGUGGCGUCUCGAGUGCCGUUCCGGAGUUGAGCUCCGGGCUUUCACACCCGACUGCCACAGCCGCCUACGCGCCCUUUACGCCCAGUGAUUCCGAACAACGCUAGCACCCUCCGUCUUACCGCGGCUGCUGGCACC